rnacentral:rRNA from 1 species
UUUAAACCUAGCCACACCCAGAAUCUUUAUACCUAACUAUUAUCUGAACCCUGUAAGCUAGGCUUUAGGUUGGGGUGACCGCGGAGUAAAACAAAACCUCCGCAAUGAACGAAACUACCGUCUUAUCUAAGAAUAACCCCUCUAAGAAUUAGCACUCUAACAUAAAUGAUCCAAUUAUUGAUCAACGGACCAAGUUACCCUGGGGAUAACAGCGCAAUCCACUUCAAGAGCUCCUAUCGA